rnacentral:tRNA from 1 species
AAGAUGGUAGUAAAAUAUUAUUACUUUGCCUUGUCAAGGCAAAAUUGUAGGUUAAAAUCCUAUACAUCUUA